UGCUGCCUGCUGCUGCUGCCUGCUGCUGCUGCUGCAGACUGGGACGUGUAUUACAGAGACGUCUACCAGGGCCUGUGGGACUGCAAGGCCGACGCGGCGGACGAACUCUCCUUCCGCCGGGGCGACCUCGUCCACAUCGUGAGCAAGGACUACGAGAAGUGGCAGUGGUGGGUGGGCGAGCUCGACGGCAAAGUGGGGCUCGUGCCGCGGGCGUUCCUCGCCGCGGCGUACGAGAUGUGACGCGCGCGCCACUCGGGAGAGACGUCACGUGGUCAUGGAGACUCACAACCACCAGCAGAGCCGGCCACAGGAGCACGGGGAAACUCACCCACUGUGUGCCCCCCCCCCCCACCCCCACAACUCUACCCGAUGCCUUCAAACUAAACCGAAAGUGUUACACUUGACACCGUGACGUCAAAGCGCCCCGUCCCCCCAAAGCGCGGGGCCCGGGGCGUAACCCCUAGAGACGGCUCUGACAACCACCUUUCCUUGCUUUAACCACCAAAUCAUUACGAUAACCACCAUCCCUAUAUCUGACCACCAACCAGAACUGCAAGCACGAACCUAAAUUCCAACCACGCACUUACACACAGACGUAUACAUUCACACAGAGACCCACAAACUUACAGAGAGACCCAUAAACUCACAGAGAGCCCCACAGACUCGCACAGAGACCCAUAAACUCAUAGAGAGACACAUAGACUCACACAGCAGAGACCCAUAGACUCACACAGAGACCCAUAGACUCACACAGCAGAGACCCAUAGACUCACACAGAGACCCACAGACUCACACAGCGACCCACAAAC